rnacentral:rRNA from 1 species
GACAGAGGCCUCAAGCGUUAGGCGGAAUCACUGGGCUUAAAGCGUGUGUAGGCGGAUCGUUAAGUGCCUUGUGAAAUCCCACGGCUUAACUGUGGAGCGGCUGGGCAUACUGGCGGUCUUGAGCCAUCUAGGGGCGACUGGAACAAACGGUGGAGCGGUGAAAUGCGUAGAUAUCGUUUGGAACGCCAAUGGUGAAAACAGGUUGCUGGGAGUGCGCUGACGCUGAGACACGAAAGCCAGGGGAGCAAACGGG